rnacentral:lncRNA from 1 species
CCUCGUGCAUGCGGCAGAGAACCUGGAAGGCCGUCAGGGCGCACCAUGAGUUCGGCACCAGUUGCGUCGGCGCCACUCUUAAACCCCGAAGCACCUGCACAACUAAGUCCGAGGGGGAAAAGCGGAACCCGGCCCGAAGGAUGUCCUCGUUGAUGGCGACCUUCCCUGGAGGAGGAUGGGACAUCCUCUCCUCAGGCCCCGGGAGCGUAACGUUGCAGGCUUCGGGAAGGUGGUACCGGGCCACGAACCUAUCUAGGUCUUCGGGGACCAGAUCCGACUGAA